UAUCUUCCUGGAACAUCUUGAAGCUAUCUCGCCUUGUGCAAACACCCUGCAGUAGUGACUGCACCACCCACGCCCCGAAGAGAAACUUCCCGCCUGACUUCCCUAUCCCCAGCAUAUAAAUACCCCAGUGAGAACAAUAAAAAUUUGCAGCUUGAUCAGAACUCCUGUCUUGCUGUCACUCCUCCUGUCUCUUGUCCCUUCAUUCCUUCCCGCCUAGGUUUGCCACCCUCGUUGAUGUCCUGCAGGUCGGGACAUUUGGCGCCCAGCGUGUACUCAAGCCUUUGACUGAGGGGGGAACACCGUCCUCCGGGGGAGACUUGACCAAGCGGAGUUCGCGAUCGCCUCGGCAGACACCACUGAGAGACAGAUCCAGAUCCAGGAGGAGAGUGGGGACGACGCACGGUGAGUGACCCACCAUGGGACAAGCAGUCUCGUCACAUGAUUUGUUUUUGUCAGGCCUCAAGGAGGCCCUCAAGACGGUGGGGGGGGGGGCGUGUUAAGAAAAAGGACUUAAAAUUAUUCUUUUCAUACGUAGAAGAUUUGUGUCCAUAGUUUCCCCUUGAAGGGACCAUUGAUGGUAAAAGAUGGCUUAGAGUAGGAGACUGUUUAAAAGAUUAUUAUGAAUCCUUUGGCCCAGAAAAGGUGCCUGUUACCACCUUUUCUUACUGGAACUUAAUUAAUGAAAUUCUUAAAAGUUCACCCUUUGACAAUGGUACCUUAAAACUUGUUAGGAUUGGGGAAGAGGCUAUGCAAAAGACCUCUUGUCCCCCCUCGGCAUGCCCUUCAGUUAGUAUAGACAUAGAUCCUUCUCAGUCUCCCCGGGACCCUGGGAACCUUCCUGGUCCCCCUCAAAAUCCCACCCUAAUAAAUAAGGCCCCAAAGGUUGCCAACCACCUUUAUCCAGUUUUAAAUCCUGGAGACACAUUGACCCCUGAGGAGGAGGCUACCUUGGAGGGGAAGCAGCUCGCUACCAUUCAAAAGACCUGCCACCUCUCAGGACCCUGCCACAGCCUAUAGGACUUACAAAUCCACCUCCCUCCUAUAUCCCUCCUGCCUUUUGUGCUCCGGCCCUCCAGGGGCCUACUGCCCCCCCCCCCCAUAUUUUUUCUCCACUUCCCUUACCUAACCUGGCUCCCUUGUGCGAGUCUCUCCAACAUAGACGGGAACAGAUCCAACUUUUAAAAGAAUUAAGAUCCCUUGACUCUGAGCUUCGCUCAUUAGCCUUAGGUACAGAGUCAACACAAGCUGGCCCAAGGCGGCCUAAUACAAAGGCUAAGCCUCCCUUCUCAGUCACCCACAGUCAGGCAGAUAAACCCGCCCAGACUGAGGACAAGGACUUAGAGGAGGAUGAAGAGGAGGAAGCGGGGGAAGGACAAGAGAAAGACCAAGACUCAGAGGAUGAGGAACCCAUCUCUAGGCAGGAAGGAACCCAGGGUGCCUACAAGAAAUUAAGCCUGAGUUUUCUUGAAAAACUUAAAAAGGCUUGUGCUCACUAUGGCCCCACUGCGCCUUAUACAUUGGCUUUAUUAGAAAGCCAAAGUGCACAAUGGCUUACUCCUAAUGAUUGGAAAUUCUUGGCUCAAGCUACCCUCAGUGCCGGAGACUUCCUGUUAUGGAAUGCAGAUUUUAAAGAGCACCGUCGGGAAACUGCUCAAAAAAAUUUAACAAAGGCCUCCUCUAAAUCCUGGACUUAUGUUAAGCUAGUGGGCAAUGCGCCUUUUGACACUAACCCUAAACAGGCGCGUUUCCCUGCUGGACUUUUGGCGCAGAUUCAGACCGUUGGCUUACAUGCUUGGAGACGCCUCCCUCAAAAGGGCUCAGCCACCACUUCCCUGGCAAAAAUUCGACAAGCGCCUGACGAGCCUUAUGGUGACUUUGUUGCACAGCUCAACCUAGCCGCGGAACGCCUGCUUGGACCAAGUGAAAGCAAAAGCACCUUUGUAAAACAUCUUGCCUUUGAAAAUGCCAACCCGGCAUGUCAGGAUGUUCUUCGACCACAUAAGGAUAAAGGGGAACUUUCUGACUUUAUUAGACUCUGUGCCGGGGUGGGAGCAGCCCAUGCCAUGGGUCUCGCCAUAGGUGCUGCCUUUACCAAGGCCUUUCGCAAUCCUGGCUCACAUACUUGCUUUACUUGUAAGCAACCUGGCCAUUUUGCACGCGAGUGUCCAACAGGCAAACAGAGCCUAGGGAUAACGUCUCCUCAAACUGGGGCUAAACCACCUCCAACCACCCUUUGCCCUAGAUGUGGUAAAGGUCGUCACUGGGCCAAUGAGUGUAGAUCUAAGACAAAUGCCCUUGGACAGCCUAUUUCUUCCCGCUUCUCGGGAAACUCCUUUCGGGGCCAGCCCCUGGCCCCGACCUCCCCCAAGACAAACCCAGGGGCAAUAAGGUUUGUUCCCUCCCAAACUCCCAACCUACCUCAAAAUCCUCCUCCACAAUUGCCUCCCUCCAACGAGCCACCCCAGGCAGCGCAGGACUGGACCUCUGUGCCGCCACCAAUACAAUAUUAGACUCCAUGCAAGGGCCCCAAAUAAUACCUACUGGGAUUAUGGGUCCCCCUCCAUCUCAUAUGUGUGCCCUUAUUCUUGGAAGAGCCUCUGCUACCUUACAAGGUGUUCAGGUCUUCCCUGGCAUUAUUGAUAAUGAUUUCACUGGAGAGAUACAAAUACUAGCCACAGCUAUUAAUGGAGUUGCGGCCAUCCCAGCAGGAACAAGAGUUGCACAAUUAAUACUCCUUCCCCUAAACUCAGGAGGCACUUCCACCACCCAGACCCUACCUCGGGGGGACUGCCUCCUUGGGCUCCUCUGAUGUGUAUUAGGUUCAGCCUAUUUCUCACAAUAGACCCACCCUUACCCUACUUAUUGAAGGAAAGGAAUUCCAAGGAAUCCUAGACACUGGUGUGGAUGCCACAGUUAUCUCUCAAAAACACUGGCCAUCAGGUUGGCCCCUCACCUCAUCUUUGACUGACCUUAAAGGAAUUAGGACAGUCAAAAAAUCCUCUAGUCAGCUCUAGGACUCUUAAUUGGGCUGAUGAAGAAGGCAAUAAGGUAAUGGUCACUCCUUUCAUUGUUCCUGACCUUCCUGUUAACCUAUGGGGCCGAGAUAUUUUGAGUCAAAUGGAAGUUAUUCUUGCCAGCCCCAACUCCCUAGUGACUCAUCAAAUGCUUCAUAUGGAUUUUGUCCCUGGUACAGGCCUUGGGAGACUGAGACAAGGAUUAGUUGAAUCCAUACCACCCACACAAAAAACAGAUAAACAUGGACUUGGGUAUUCGGAUUUUUAGUGACCCUCCUGUACCCCAUGCAGACAAGAUCAUUUGGGAAACUCAGACUCCUGUGUGGGUGGAUCAGUGGCCCCUUACCCAAGAAAAAUUGGAGGCUGCCUCUAUGUUAGUACAGGAACAGCUGGCAGCUGGCCAUGUAGAACCCUCAGCUUCACCAUGGAAUACUCCUAUUUUUGUUAUUAAGAAAAAAUCAGGCAAAUGGCGCCUGUUACAAGAUUUGCGCGCCAUUAAUAAAGUUAUGCGUCCAAUGGGAGCCCUACAACCAGGCAUUCCUACACCAGUGGCUAUUCCCAAAAACUAUUGGAAAAUGGUUAUUGACCUAAAAGAUUGCUUUUUUACCAUUCCUUUACAUCCCGAGGAUAGACCCUAUUUUGCCUUUAGUCUCCCUCGCAUUAAUUUUCAGGGCCCUAUGCAGAGAUUUCAAUGGAAGGUUCUUCCCCAAGGUAUGGCCAACAGCCCUAGUCUUUGCCAAAAAUAUGUCACUCAAGCAGUAGACCCUGUGAGAGAGCAAUGGCCACAAAUUUAUAUUUUACAUUAUAUGGAUGAUUUGUUAAUCGCUGCACCUAAUACCCAUGAUCUUAAUAGUUGUUACUUGGACCUUUACAAAGCUCUCACUGCCUUGGGACUACAGAUAGCUCCUGACAAGGUUCAAAUACAGGACCCUUAUACCUAUUUGGGCCUUAAACUUCAAGAUAAUCAGAUCCAAAUUCCUAAAAUACAACUACGUGUGGACCAUCUUCACACCCUUAAUGAUUUUCAAAAAUUACUGGGGGAUAUUCAAUGGCUAAGACCAUAUUUAAAAUUACCCACUUGUGUACUUUUGCCCCUUAAUGAUAUCUUGAGAGGCGAUUCCCACCCCUCCUCCCCUCGGAAGCUUACUCCCGAGGCACGACAGACAUUAAACCAAGUCACAGAAGCCAUUGCCCAACAGUUUGUUACGCAAAUUUCUUAUAACCUUCCUUUGGUUUUGGUUAUUUUACACACUCCUCAUACACCCACAGGAAUAUUCUGGCAGCGGGAUCCACAUUUUAAAAAUGAAGGCUGGGGGCUGGGGAUGUGGCUCAAGCAGUAGCGCGCUUGCCUGGCAUGCGUGCGGCCCAGGUUUGAUCCUUAGCACCACAUACAAAGAUGUUGUGUCCGCUGAAAACUAAAAAAUAAAUAUUAAAAAUUCUCUCCCUCUCUUAAAAAAUAAAUAAAUAAACCCUCUUAUUAAAAAAAAAAAUAAAAAUAAAAAUAAAGGCUGCCCCUUGCUUUGGGUCCAUUUACCCACCACAUCCUCCAAGGUUAUUACUGUUUAUCCUGCUCAGGUAGCUUCUAUUAUUAUUAAAGGUCGCUUGCUCUCUCAACAACAUUUUGGCAAAGACCCUGAUAGUAUUUUAAUUCCAUACACUAAGGACCAAACCCAAUUUUUAUUACAGACAGGGGAUGAAUGGGGUAUUGCCCUAUCAGGCUUUUUGGGAACAAUUGAUAACCACCUCCCCAAUGACCCCCUUUUACAUUUUGCCCAAUUACAUCCAUUUAUUUUUCCCAGAAUUACUCAAAAAGCUCCCAUUCCUCAAGCCCUUACCGUCUUUAUUUUUAUUUAUUUUUUAUUUUUUUAUAAUUUUAAUAUUUAUUCUUUUUUAGUUUUCGGCAGACACAACAUCUUUGUUUGUAAGUGAUGCUGAGGAUCGAACCCGGGCCACAUGCAUGCCAGGCGAGCACGCUACCGCUUGAGCCACAUCCCCAGCCCAGCCCUUACUGUCUUUACAGACGGUUCCAGUAAUGGCCGUGUGGUCUUUGUUGUCAAUGACCAGCCCACCACCUUGGAUACUGCCUAUCAGUCAGCACAGCUUGUGGAAUUGUUUGCCAUAACACAAGUUUUUAUAACAUUUUUUGACAAACCUAUUAAUAUUUAUACAGACAGUGCCUACAUUGCCCACUCUGUGCCCCUGCUGGAGAUUUCACCUGCCAUUAAGGCCUCUUCCAAUGCGGCCUUUUUGUUUCACCAACUUCAACAGCUGAUUCAGGCCAGGCAACACCCAUUUUUCUUGGGGCACAUCAGGGCACACUCUAAUCUUCCCGGCCCUCUAACACAAGGUAAUGCCCAAGCUGAUGCGGUAACUCGUUCCAUCUUUCCAAUUUUUGUUGGCUCCAUUCAAAAGGCUACAAAAUUACAUAAUCUUCACCAUCUAAAUUCCCAGAGCCUUCGAUCACUUUGUAAGAUUACCAGGCAACAGGCACGAGAAAUAGUAAAAGCAUGUCCUGCUUGCGCUGUCUCCCUCCCCAUUCAACACCUAGGAGUUAACCCCCGAGGAUUGCUGCCCAAUCAGAUUUGGCAAAUGGAUGUUACUCAUUUUCCUGAGUUUGGAAAAACCAAGUAUAUACAUGUUUCCAUAGAUACCUUUAGUGGCUUUAUCUUUGCAUCACCACAUUCCGGAGAGGCUACCAAAGAUGCCCUUUCUCAUCUUGUCUCAGCCUUCUCCGUAAUGGGCAAACCAACACAUAUCAAAACAGAUAAUGGCCCUGCAUAUAUCAGUGCCAAGUUUAAACAGUUCUGUGCUACCUUACAAAUUUGUCACACUACUGGGAUUCCAUACAACCCUCAGGGACAAGGCACUGUGGAAUGUGCCCACCUUACCUUAAAGACCUGGCUGACUCGCCUUAAGGCUUCUGCCCUUGUAUUUACCACCCCCAGAGAUCGCCUCAGCCAUGCGCUGUUUGCCCUUAAUUUUCUUACCCUAGACAGUGAAGGCCAUUCGGCCGCAGACAGACACUGGCAUCCCUCGUCCAAUUCUGUUCGCCCACCUGUUAUGUGGCGUGAUCCCCUUACAAAUAAAUGGAAAGGACCAGAUCCUGUCCUCAUCUGGGGACGAGGCUCAGCUUGUGUUUUGGAUCAAGAGCAAGCGGCCCCAAGAUGGUUGCCAGAACGUUUGGUUAAACAGGUCAAUGACUUACCCCAACCCAGUGAUGGAAACCCUCCCCCUGAGGACGAAUUUUCCUCUUUUUCAGAUGCAACCAACAAUUGGUGUGAGGAUCCUGCUUCAGGUACUUCUCUUGAACAGGUUUGUAUACGGAGGCCUUGACCCUCCACCUUCCAAUAUUUUGGAGCACCUUUUUGGCUCCCCCUGUGAAUGCAAGGGAGGAUAUUGGAAUCAGGCUCCCACCAGUUAUACCCAGACUGCUGACUGCACGACUAAGGUGGCUUACCUCCGUGCCUAGGUUGACAAUAGACUCGGAGGGGUUCACCAGCCUAAAUGGGUAUGUGUUAACAAGCCAAAAAUUAUUUCCUCUAGUACUCUCCAAAAUUGUUCUGCAACUUGUUCAUAUACCACGGUGAUGCAUGCCUCUUGUUAUGAGUCAGCCUCAAUUUGUGUUAAUAAGCAGGGAAUACAACAUUUUGAAGCCAUCUUAGCUAAAACUCGUGCAGCAGGGGGGACCACUACUCAUUAUACCCCCAUUCUCUUCAACUGGGGAGGAGAAGGCAGAUACACCAAAUUGCAGUUGGCUGGAUGCCAAGGCACUGUUGGUAAACCAUCCUGCUGGCCUGCUAAGGCCCCUACGGGGGUCUCUGAUGGUGGAGGACCCACUGAUGCUGUUAAGCAUCUUCAGAUAAUUAAGCUUUUAAAAAACCCAAAUCCCUGAGCUUACAUAUCAUCCUUUAAUGCUGCCUAAAUCCCAACUCCCAGAUUUAGAUACUAAUACCUUGGAUAUCUUGGAGACUACCUUUUCCUUGCUUAAUGAUUCCAACCCUCACCUUGCUAGUGAUUGCUGGCUUUGCAUGACAACAGGGGCGAUAAUGCCCAUGGCAGUUCAUGUUAAUUCUACCAUAAAUGGUGAUGAUACCUGUCAACCCGGGCUUCCUUUUAGAGUACAGCCUAUGGAUACCCUUACAUUAUGUCUUUUAGGCAUGAUGCAGAAUAACUCCUAUGAUAUUGAUGUUGGGGUUACUUCUUUUGGAAAUUGCUCAUCAGUACAAAACUAUUCCUCACCCACCCCACCUCUUUGUCCCCCCAGUGGCACGGUUUUUAUGUGUGGAGGAAACUUAGCCUUCCCCAGGCUUCCAGCCAAUUGGACCGGUGGCUGUGUUCUUGCCUUAUUGCUCCCUGAUAUAACUGUUGUCUCAGGAGAUGAGACUCUACCCAUUCCUAGCCUAGACACCCUGGUAAAAAGACACAGGCGGGCCAUACAAGCCUUACCGCUCCUUGCCAGCCUUGGAAUAGCAACAGCCGUAGGCACAGGUACCGCUGGCUUAGGCACGGCUAUACACUCUUACCAUCGCCUGUCUCAACAACUUAUAGAUGAUGUACAAACUCUAUCAGGAACCAUUAAAGAUCUACAGGACCAAAUAGAUUCUCUGGCAGAGGUGGUCCUUCAGAACAGACGAGGCUUAGAUCUACUGACAGCUAACCAGGGAGGUAUUUGCCUGGCCUUAGGGGAACGAUGCUGCUUUUAGGCCAAUAAAUCAGGCAUGGUACGCACUAAAAUUAAGCAGCUUCAGGAAGACCUAGAAAAGAGACGAUGGGAGCUGUUUGAAAAUCCACUCUGGACAGGGCUUAAUGGAUUUUUACCCUACCUUCUUCCCCUAUUGGGCCCUUUAUUGGGUCUACUUUUGAAGAUCACCAUAGGACCCUGCAUUAUAAACAGGCUGGUACAAUUUAUUAAGGAACAGAUUAAUAUCUUGGCCUCUAAGCCCAUACAGGUCCAUUAUCAUCAUCUGGAAAUGGAGGACCGCACCCCCGAGGUCUAUCUAUCAAUGGAAAACCGCUAAUGUCCCAUCUGGGUCCUAAAAAUUUUCCCCUGACACCCUCUCUUCUUGUACAAAAAUUUCUGACUGCCCAUCGCCCUUGUCCUAAGGGCCCUCUCCCUCUGGACCCCUCCGCUUGGGGGAGGACGCAUCCAAGGACAGAGGUCACAAGGCCUUGACAAUUGAGGGUGCAGGCAGGACUGCAGGAGGAUGGAUCCAAGGAUCCCUAAACCCAAGACCUCUGAAUGGCACGCCCUGGUGCAUGGCGGUUGGCAUGCUUCUUAAAUCCGUCUCCUCAUAAAACAUGCCGAGGACACUCUCCUGACGCCCAGCAAGGACGCUCGAUUAAGUCAGGACAUUAAACUCUCCCUUUAGAGGAACAGGGCCUCUGUCAUCCCCUCUUAUAAAGCCGAUGCACCUUAGUCAUAUUCUGUAUAAGAAUAAGGGGGAAAUGUCAGGGGCUACAAAAAGAAGCUCCCUUUGUGAACUGUUUGGCCGUUACUUGACCCUGCCCUGGAACAUUUUUUCGGUUACUUAUCUUCCUGGAACAUCUUGAAGCUGUCUCGCCUUGUGCAAACACCCUGCAGUAGUGACUGCACCACCCACGCCCCCGAAGAGAAACUUCCCGCCUGACUUCCCUAUCCCCAGCAUAUAAAUACCCCAAUGAGAACAAUAAAAAUUUGCAGCUUGAUCAGAACUCCUGUCUUGCUGUCACUCCUCGUGUCUCUUGUCCCUUCAUUCCCUCCUGCCUAGGUUCGCCG
rnacentral:lncRNA from 1 species